rnacentral:rRNA from 1 species
AUUGAACGCUGGCGGCAGGCCUAAUACAUGCAAGUCGAACGAGUGGCGGACGGGUGAGUAAUGUCUGGGAAACUGCCUGAUGGAGGGGGCUAACUACUGGAAACGGUAGCUAAUAGCGCAUACCAUCAGAUGUGCUCAUAUGGGAUUAGCUAGUGGGUGGGGUAACGGCUCACCAAGGCGACGAUCCCUAGCUGGUCGGAGAGGGUGAACAGCCACACUGGGACGGAGACACGGUCCAGACUCCUACGGGAGGCAGCAGUAGGGAAUAUUGCGCAAUGGGCGCAAGCCUGAUGCAGCCAUGCCGCGUGUAUGAAGAAGGCAUUCGGGUUGUAAAGCACUUUCAGCGGGGAGGCGUUACCCACAGAAGAAGCACCGGCUAACUCCGUGCCAGCAGCCGCGGUAAUAC